UACGUAGGGUGCGAGCGUUAUUCGGAAUUACUGGGCGUAAAGCGUGCGCAGGCGGUUUUGUAAGCCAGCUGUGAAAUCCCCGGGCUCAACCUGGGAAUGGCAUUUGGGACUGCAAGGCUGGAGUACGGCAGAGGAGACUGGAAUUCCUGGUGUAGCAGUGAAAUGCGUAGAGAUCAGGAGGAAUACCGAUGGCGAAGGCAGGUCUCUGGGCUGAUACUGACGCUCAUGCACGAAAGCGUGGGGAGCAAACAGG
rnacentral:rRNA from 1 species